CAGUAGCCGCGGUAAUACGAAGGGGGCUAGCGUUGCUCGGAAUCACUGGGCGUAAAGGGUGCGUAGGCGGUUUGGCAAGUCUUGUGUGAAAUCUUCGGGCUCAACCCGAAGCCUGCACGAGAAACUGCCGGGCUUGAGUAUUGGAGAGGUGAGUGGAAUUUCCGGUGUAGCGGUGAAAUGCGUAGAUAUCGGAAGGAACACCUGUGGCGAAAGCGGCUCACUGGACAAUUACUGACGCUGAGGCACGAAAGCUAGGGGAGCAAACAGGAUUAGAUACCCGAGUAGUCCCUGUCUCUUAUAC
rnacentral:rRNA from 1 species